rnacentral:rRNA from 1 species
UACGGGGGGGGCAAGCGUUGCUCGGAAUUACUGGGCGUAAAGGGCUCGUAGGUGGCCAACUAAGUCGGACGUGAAAUCCCUCGGCUUAACCGGGGAACUGCGUCCGAUACUGGUUGGCUUGAGUUUGGGAGAGGGAUGCGGAAUUCCAGGUGUAGCGGUGAAAUGCGUAGAUAUCGGAAGGAACAUCAGUGGCGAAGGCGGGUCUCUGGGCAGUAACUGACGCUGAGGAGCGAAAGCGUGGGGAGCGAACAGG